CAAAUAAUAUUAACAAUAAUAAUAAUAAAUGAGCUCUGGGUACUGGUGGGCACCCGUUGUCAUAGCUACUCAGGAAGCUGAUGCAGGAGGAUCCCUUGAGCCCAGGAGUCUGGGGCUGCUGUGAGCUGUGUUCAUGGCCCUGCACGCCAGCCUGGACGACACAGCAAGACCCUCUUCUUAAAGAACAAAAUAUAGGGCUAAGAACUAUAGAACUGUGAUAAAAGAUAUGUCCCAGGAUGGAGACAUCUGAGAUGUUUUAACAGUGGAAAUAGCCAUGUUGGAUCCCAAAUCCCAGAAACAGAGAUGUGAGUUCCUGGUGGUAGAGCUCGGUGCUUUGGACAGGGAAGCUGAGGCCCAGGCUUGUGAGGUGGCCCUGCUGCCAGCAAGGGGUGAGGGAGCUGGGGAGAAUCUCUUAGUCCUUCUGGGCCUCAGUUUCCCCAUCAGGAAGUGAAGGUUCCAACUGCACCUCUCCCAGGGACCUUCCUGCCGGGUUUGCUCUGAGUCUCUGUGGGCAGAGCUGUGGUAAAGGUGCCCUGCGACCCGCAGUGGAGACCUGACCUUGGUCCCUACUGUGACUAUCUCCUGCAGGGCCCUGAGCUGAGGCCACACCCUGAGAACUCAGAACUGAGGGAGCAGAUGGAGGAAGGGGAGCCGGCAGGUUGGGGGAUGAGAAUGACCGAAACAAGGACACGGGAACGGUGGUGCAGGUGGACACACACGGGUCACUGACGACCACUGCGGGGAGCCCCCUGGUGCCGGGCCUGAGUGGGAACCGUGAACACGGAGUUGGUGAAACCGUGUCCCAGCAUCCACGGAGCUCUCAGACCGCAGCUGGUGGGCCCUGGGUGACACAACACUCCUGACCUCCCAGGACACCACCAGCAUCUGCCUCCAGGUCGUGUCAAGGUCAACAGAGCCAAGGUCUCCAGGGGGAACUGCUGACUCCGUCAUGGGCACCUGGAGACACCAUGAGGCCAGUUCAGUGGGACCCUUAAGUCCAUGUCUGCCAGAAAGGUGACGCUGGUCCCUGUUCUUGUGGAUAAUUACAUGUUUCCACACCUUCCUAAUCUCCCAUCCCAUCAAAAUUAAUUAAACGAUGACUCUAUUUUUAGAA